GCUCGCUAAAGUCAGGGGAAGGAGAGAAACAAUGGGGAAGGGAGCAUAACAUGGAUGUGGGGCACGAGAGGCCGUGGUCGGAGCGGCAUUGCAUGGGCAUAUUGGGUAUUAUUUGAGCUGAUACUCCAUUUUCUUACAAGAGAUGUGGUCCCGUCGAUGUUGGCUGUCGAAUUUGUGCUGCAGUCCAUGCCCACCACAUCCGAGU